UACGUAGGGUCCGAGCGUUGUCCGGAAUUACUGGGCGUAAAGAGCUCGUAGGUGGUUUGUCGCGUUGUUCGUGAAAACUCACAGCUUAACUGUGGGCGUGCGGGCGAUACGGGCAGACUUGAGUACUGCAGGGGAGACUGGAAUUCCUGGUGUAGCGGUGGAAUGCGCAGAUAUCAGGAGGAACACCGAUGGCGAAGGCAGGUCUCUGGGCUAUAACUGACGCUCAUGCACGAAAGCGUGGGGAGCAAACAGG
rnacentral:rRNA from 1 species